CCCUUAGAUGUUCUGGGCUGCACGCGCGCUACACUGAUGCAUUCAACGAGCUUCUUCCUGGUCCGAGAGGAAUGGGUAACCUUUUGAAAGUGCAUCGUGAUAGGGAUAGACUAUUGCAAUUAUUGGUCUUCAACGAGGAAUUCCUAGUAGACGUAGUUCAUCAGACUGCAUCGAUUACGUCCCUGCCCUUUGUACACACCGCCCGUCGCUCCUACCGAUUGAAUGCUCAGGUGAGCCAUUCGGACUUUCAUCAUGCUGGUUUCCAGUUUUGAUGAAGGAAAGUCUUGCGAACCUUAUCAUUUAGAGGAAGGAGAAGUCGUAACA
rnacentral:rRNA from 1 species